rnacentral:rRNA from 1 species
CACCGCGGUCAUACGAGUGCGCCCAAGUGGAUAGCUAGCGGCGUAAAGUGUGGUUAGGGCCCUAAUAUAACACUAAAGCAGAACCACCUCCCAGCCGUUAUACGCACCUGACAGCAUGAAGCCCUCCCACGAAAGUGACUUUAACUCUGCCCGAACCCACGAAAACUAGGAAA